CUUUUCCCAUGCGCAUCGCAAGGGAUCGGUUGAUGGGGCCCUCAGUAUGACUUCGCUAGGAAAAAUAAAGGUCUUCUUAGGCGGGAGGGGACUGAUUUGAGGACGGAGGGUGGGAGUAGUGCCAGCAGCACUUUGUCGUAGUGGCACUGGGUGGGCAGUUAUCAGUUGCAGUCCGCUCGUUUCUCAGUGCCCACGGUUUCUCACUGACAGUGCAGCUCGUUUCUCAGAGCCGGCGGAUGUUCAUGGGCAGCACCAUCGAGCCAGAAGCAGUAUUUGUCCUGGAGCUGAUUUGAAGACCAGAAAGAAAAGGUCUGAAUUGAAGCUUCCCUUCAAAGCCAUGCUUCUUUUUACUAGAAAAAAGGAAAAUAUGCAACUAUACAACAGGAAGUGAAAAAAAUGAAACAGAAUGAGAAUGACAGAAUAGAUACAGAAGGCAGAAGAUUGAAAGCUCUUGUUAGGUGAAAGGUUUAUGGACUCUAGGUGUCUGGAGAAUGAAUCCUGAGAGCAGGAGCAACUCCUACAUGCCAGUAUUACUCGAGAAGUACCAGUGGUGAUCCCAGAAAACUAGCUUUAGCAUUUUUUUUUUUUUUUUUUUGAGACGGAGUCUCCCUCUGUUGCCCAGGCUGGAGUGCAGUGGCGCGAUCGUGGCUCACUGCAAGCUCCGCCUCCCGGGUUCAUGCCAUUCUCCUGCCUUAGCCUCCCAAGUAGCUGGGACUACAGGCACCCGCCACUACACCCGGCUAAUUUUCUGUAUUUUUAGUAGAGACGGGGUUUCACCGUGUUAGCCAGGAUGGUCUCGAUCUCCUGACCUCGUGAUCCGCCUGCCUCGGCCUCCCAAAGUGCUGGGAUUACAGGCGUGAGCCACCGCGGCCGGCCUCUUUAGCAUUUCUUUGAGUAUGUAGCCUGGAUGUGUCUCUCCAGAUGUGAACAGUGGAUGGAACCUUGCAUUGUAGAGAGUUGGCAGUGCUCUGCAUGGGUAUAACACACAGAGUAGUGACCAUUCCCAAAGGAGACCCAUGUCACACAGGCAGAGACCUGCUGUCCAGACUCUUAUGCAGACAUACUUCUCCCUCCAACAUGUGCAAAGGAAUGUACUAUUUCUUUUCAACUUCCCCAGACAAAAACUGUUAAGGCAGGUGAUACUUUCUCAGGGAAUGUUGAUUUACACAUACUGCAAUUAUAAUAUUAUCUGAAAAAAAAGAAAUCUGCAAGUGAUCUGAGGGUAAAUGCUGCAGCUGCAAGCCCCACUUGCAAGUAUUCUCAGGACAAAUGGGAAAUGGGUUAAAUGACUGCGUAUAGUAUUUUGCUUUUACAUGUUAUUUAUAUUAUGUUACAUCCUCCAAGAAUUAGCGUGUCAUAACUUAGAGAAUAAAGAACUCAGCUGA
rnacentral:lncRNA from 1 species